rnacentral:SRP_RNA from 1 species
ACCAGGAGCAGUGGGGCAUGCCUGCAGUCCCAGCUACUCAGGAGGCUGAGGUGGGAGGAUCGCCUGAGCCCAGGAGUUCUGGGCUGUAGUGCACUAUGCGGAUCGGGUGUCCGCAGAAAGUUCAGCAUCGGUAUGGUGACCUCCCAGGAGUAGGGGACCACCAGGUUGCCUAUGGAUGGGUGAACCGGCCCAGGUCGGAAACAGAGCAGGUCAGAACUCUGUUGCUGAUCAGUAGUGGGAUCCCACCUGUGAAUAGCCAAUGCACUCCAGUCUGGGCAACAUAGUGAGACCCAUCUCGU